GAUGAAGAACGUAGUGAAAUGCGAUAAGUAAUGUGAAUUGCAGAAUUCAGUGAAUCAUCGAAUCUUUGAACGUACAUUGCGCCCGCCAGUAUUCUGGCGGGCAUGCCUGUUCGAGCGUCAUUUCAACCCUCAAGACCCCUUCGGGGGACUUGGUGUUGGGGACCGGCACAGGGGCCUGCCUGCUUGUCUUGCAGCGCCCUCGCCGCCCCCGAAAUGAAUUGGCGGCCUCGUCGCGGCCUCCCCUGCGUAGUAGCACAACCUCGCAACGGGAACGUGACGGCGGCCACUGCCGUAAAACAACCCCAAUUUUAUUAGAGUUGACCUCGAAUCAGGUAGGAAUACCCGCUGAACUUAAGCAUAUCAAUAAGCGGAGGA
rnacentral:misc_RNA from 1 species